CCGAUGGACAUGUAAACAAACAUGUUCUUACACAAAACUUACGGACAGGAAAUUCCUGUUUCGGCACUAUUUUUCAAGGAACUAUAAAUUAGGAAAGCUUCUAAUACUUAUCAUAAAGGGAUCAACGUAUGUUGAGUAUCAAAGAAUAAUGGAGGCAAUGCAUAUUACCAAUACAUAGGAAAACGUGAAAACAUACAGAUGCGCUAUUAUCACAGAUAAGAUUAAAGUGGUCCGUUAAAUAUAGACACGCGGAGAGAAGAAAA